UAAUACGUAGGCAGCGAGCGUUGUUCGGAGUUACUGGGCGUAAAGAGUGCGUAGGCGGUGCGGUAAGUCUGGUGUGAAAUCUCCCGGCUCAACUGGGAGGGUGCGCUAGAAACUGCCGUGCUAGAGUGUGGGAGAGGUAAGCGGAAUUCCUGGUGUAGCGGUGAAAUGCGUAGAUAUCAGGAGGAACACCUGCGGUGUAGACAGCUUACUGGACCAUAACUGACGCUGAGGCACGAAAGCGUGGGUAGCAAACAGGAUUAGAUACCCUGGUAGUCCACGCCCUAAACGAUGCAUACUUGGUGUGGGUGAUUCAUUUCAUCCGUGCCGGAGCUAACGCGUUAAGUAUGCCGCCUGGGGAGUACGGUCGCAAGGCUG
rnacentral:rRNA from 1 species